rnacentral:tRNA from 1 species
GGUGUUGUAGCUCAGUGGUAGAGCUCUUGCUUCCCAUGUAUGAGGUAAAUGGCUUAACUUCCGAUACCA